rnacentral:rRNA from 1 species
UACGGGAGGCAGCAGUGGGGAAUAUUGCACAAUGGGCGCAAGCCUGAUGCAGCCAUGCCGCGUGUAUGAAGAAGGCCUUCGGGUUGUAAAGUACUUUCAGUCGUGAGGAAGGUGUUAAGGUUAAUAACCUUAGCAAUUGACGUUAGCGACAGAAGAAGCACCGGCUAACUCCGUGCCAGCAGCCGCGGUAAUACGGAGGGUGCGAGCGUUAAUCGGAAUUACUGGGCGUAAAGGGCACGCAGGCGGUUAAUUAAGUUGGAUGUGAAAUCCCCGGGCUUAACCUGGGAAUGGCAUUCAAGACUGGUUAGCUAGAGUCUUGUAGAGGGGGUAGAAUUCCAUGUGUAGCGGUGAAAUGCGUAGAGAUGUGGAGGAAUAUCGGUGGCGAAGGCGGCCCCUGGGACAAGACUGACGCUCAUGUGCGAAAGCGUGGGGAGCAAACAGGGAUUAGAUACC